rnacentral:rRNA from 1 species
GGCUUCUUGUUGACGGAAACCGCCUUAAUCGCAGUGGUUUGAACCGGGCAAAAGUCGUAACAAGGUUUCCGUAGGUGAACCUGCGGAAGGAUCAUCACUGAGUUUGCGAGCUUGUCUU